GAUGAACGCUGACAGAAUGCUUAACACAUGCAAGUCUACUUGAUCCUUCGGGUGAUGGUGGCGGACGGGUGAGUAACGCGUAAAGAACUUGCCCUGCAGUCUGGGACAACAUUUGGAAACGAAUGCUAAUACCGGAUAUUAUGUGAGUUUCGCAUGAAAUUCAUAUGAAAGCUAUAUGCGCUGCAGGAGAGCUUUGCGUCCUAUUAGCUAGUUGGUGAGGUAACGGCUCACCAAGGCGAUGAUAGGUAGCCGGCCUGAGAGGGUGAACGGCCACAAGGGGACUGAGACACGGCCCUUACUCCUACGGGAGGCAGCAGUGGGGAAUAUUGGACAAUGGACCAAAAGUCUGAUCCAGCAAUUCUGUGUGCACGAUGAAGUUUUUCGGAAUGUAAAGUGCUUUCAGUUGGGACGAAGAACGUGACGGUACCAACAGAAGAAGCGACGGCUAAAUACGUGCCAGCAGCCGCGGUAAUACGUAUGUCGCAAGCGUUAUCCGGAUUUAUUGGGCGUAAAGCGCGUCUAGGCGGUUUGGUAAGUCUGAUGUGAAAAUGCGGGGCUCAACCCCGUAUUGCGUUGGAAACUGCCAAACUAGAGUACUGGAGAGGUGGGCGGAACUACAAGUGUAGAGGUGAAAUUCGUAGAUAUUUGUAGGAAUGCCGAUGGAGAAGUCAGCCCACUGGACAGAUACUGACGCUGAAGCGCGAAAGCGUGGGUAGCAAACAGG
rnacentral:rRNA from 1 species